AACUCAUGUUAAGGAUAUUUCCACAGGAGUUCCUUGAACCUAUCCCAUGUCUUAAAUAAAGACUCCAAUUCUGUUUGCACAAAAGAUGAUAUUUCAUUCCUAAGCUU